rnacentral:rRNA from 1 species
UACAGAGGUCUCAAGCGUUGUUCGGAUUCAUUGGGCGUAAAGGGUGCGUAGGCGGCGCGGUAAGUCGGGUGUGAAAUCUCGGAGCUUAACUCCGAAACUGCAUUCGAUACUGCCGUGCUUGAGGACUGGAGAGGAGACUGGAAUUUACGGUGUAGCGGUGAAAUGCGUAGAUAUCGUAAGGAAGGCCAGUGGCGAAGGCGGGUCUCUGGACAGUUCCUGACGCUGAGGCACGAAGGCCAGGGGAGCAAACGGGG